rfam:Pelobacter carbinolicus DSM 2380, complete genome.
AUGCGCGGCAGUCUCCGAGCCAGGUCCGCCUAAGGGGAUGGUCUUCAGGGCGUCUGGCCAAAGGGUUUCGCUGGAAACGGCGAUGCCUCCCGCGUUUGGAAAGGAGAUAAUCCCGGAGUUCC